CCUCAGUCCCCCCUCAAGGCAAACAACCAAACCCCCAUGUAACGGACUAAGAGCUAUUUAAAGGGGGUACAGCCCCUUUAAAACAGGACACAGCCUCCACCAGCGGAUAAGCCCAACAACUCCCCCUAACCCGUGGGCCUUAAAGCAGCCAUCUCCAAAGAGUGCGUCAAAGCUCCAACCAAAAAAAUCCAAAAACAACGUGACUCCCUAUACCCAUAGCAGGCCAACCUAUAACAAUAGAUGAAUUCAUGCUAGAACGAGUAACCAGGACACCGUCCCCUUAAGCGCAAGCCUACACACCAUUAACAGCACACCUACAAUACAACCCCCCCUCGACCAAACAUUAAACACACCCUGUUAACCCAACCCAGGAGCGCACACUAGGACGAUUAAAAUCUGCAAAAGGAACUCAGCAAACCCGAGGCCCGACUGUUUACCAAAAACAUAGCCCUCAGCCAAACAAGUAUUGGGGGUGAUGCCUGCCCAGUGACAGCACGUUUAACGGCCGCGGUAUCCUAACCGUGCAAAGGUAGCGCAAUCAAUUGUCCCAUAAAUCGAGACCUGUAUGAAUGGCCAAACGAGGUCUCAACUGUCUCCUGCAGACAAUCAGUGAAACUGAUCUCCCCGUGCAAAAGCGAGAAUAAACACAUAAGACAAGAAGACCCUGUGGAACUUAAAAAUCAAUAGCCACCACAUCCAACCUCAAACCCACCGGGCCCACACCACCCCAAACACUGGCUAACAUUUUUAGGUUGGGGCGACCUUGGAGCAAAACAAACCCUCCAAAAAUAGGGACAUAUCCCCUAACCAAGAGCAACCCCUCAACGUACUAAUAGUACCCAGACCCAAUAAAAUUGACCACUGGACCAAGCUACCCCAGGGAUAACAGCGCAAUCUCCCCCAAGAGCCCAUAUCGACGAGGAGGUUUACGACCUCGAUGUUGGAUCAGGACAUCCUAGUGGUGCAGCCGCUACUAAGGGUUCGUUUGUUCAACGAUUAACAGUCC
rnacentral:rRNA from 1 species